CUUUCCUCAGCACCAGCAACCUCCGAGGCUUGAAAACCUAAAGGCGGUGCUGGGAACAUGAUUCAUCCCCAGACGAAGAGGAGAAAAACAAGGCUUCCUUUUCCCGCCGGCUUCCUCCUCCUCCUCCUCUCACGCUGCUUCCCAUGAAAAAGGCUCUGUGGGGCACCCCAGACGCGCCCCGGGCUGAGGUCGGGGCGGCGUGGGGACAGGGCGGGGGGCUGCCAUCCUGCACACCGCAGGCGAGCGCCACAAGCGUCUCGGUCCCACAAAGUCAGGGACGCGGCCACUACCCCGGGCGCGCGCUGCAGCGCCCUGCCAGAUGCAAACCAGUGAUUUAACGUGAGAAAAAUGCUAGCCUGAGACUUCCGGGGACAAGUCUCAGGAUCCACAAGGGCUUACGGAAGUGGCAGGCAAGGCUUAGAGAUCAAGAGGAGCGUCAGGCUGCGGACGUUCCCCUCAAGGGGCCACAGGAGGAGUCCUUGGCUUGGCCUUGCCAGUGUGGGUGAGGGGGGUCCAACGCCACAAGCCAGAGGAGAAGAGAUUUAAUACUGAAGUUUCCAUCAGUGUCACCAAGAGAGCUGAUGGGGAGGCUUUCCAGGAGCAAUAAAAGAGGCAGAGAUGGGCCGGUGAGUCACCAUGUCCUCUGGCCAGGCCGUCAAGUGGCUGACCAGCUCAGAGGAGAGUGAGGCAGCGAACCCCACUAGGACGCACCUCCCUGCUCCCCCGGACACGCGGCAGCUGUGGCUCAGCCAGCUCAAAGCCUCCAGCCCGUCCGUCCCGGUUUCAUCCGCGGGGUGGGGUGGACCGGCCCUCCCCUUCCCCAUACGCCCACAGCGAGCAUCGCACUGUGACGCUACCAACGCGGACACUGAACCAGAUGUUGCUUUUCAUGAGAGUGACGAUGGAAAACAGACGAUUGGAGAGAGAGUAUAAAGCGCCUCCACUUGAGCAACUCGUCUGUUGAAACUAAAUCUGCUUCAUUUAAAAUACCUGAGCAUUUGAGGGAAGACGAGAAGGAUUCACAGCAACUGCACUGCGCCCACAGAGGAUUUCCUUUUCCAUUUCAGUUUAGGUGUUUGAUCAGGUGCUGCUGACCCAGGAGAGUGAGGCCCGAGGCCCCCUCCCCGGCGUUUCUUCCACGCCCGGCUCUGGAGGCUGCAGGGAGGUUCAAAGAGUAAAGGGGAAUGGAAGACCUAGAGGGCAGCCACCAGCCGACCAGCAGUUCCACUGGCAGUACCUCUGCUUUAGUCCUUUCUCGCCUUUCCCAAGAAGAAACCUGAACGCUAGCCAGCUGAUGGCAGUGGCAAGAAGCAAUUAAGAUGGAAGAGAGUAAGACAGAGCUUUAAAAACAUCCCUUCACCAACCUGUGCGCCUCACAGGAAACAGGUCUCAGGGAACAGGCACACAAAUGUUAAAUUUUAGUAAAAUUACCAGCCGCUUGAUGAUAGAAAAGGAAGGAGGGAAGAAAGGCAGACAGCCAGAUCAGAUUUCAUCUGGAAAAGUGGUGAUAGGAUAAUGUAACCUCUAGGACAGGUCUUCUGGGGGCAAGAUUUAUUCAUAACAUUUACUGAGUGCUUCCUGUAGGCCAGGUGCACCCACAUGUACCAUUUCGUUUAUUCUUCAUAAAAAGCUAAAGUGUGAAAUGUCUCUGUCCACUUUACAGAUGCAGAAAAGUACCAUGGAGCUUUAGUCGGUUUAUCAGGUCACCUGGGCUUCCCUGGUGCCUCAGUAGUAAAAAAUCCACCUGCCAAUGCAGGAGACGCAGGUUUGAUCCCUGGGUCAGGAAGAUCCUCUGGAGAAGGAAAUGGCAACCCACUCUAGUAUUCUUGCCUGGAGCAUCAAUCUCAGGGACAGAGGAGCCUGGUGAACUAAAGUCCAUGGGGUCGCAAAGAGUGGGACACAACUUAGCAACUAAACAACAACGAGGUCACACAACUAAUGAGUCUGCAUUAAAUCCAAUUUGAGAAAUCUUUCUUUCUAUAUGCAUCUUAUUUUGUCUUGAGUAAUCCCCUAAACUGGAAGAAAGAACUCUCAGCGAGAAAACAUAAGUCAAAAUUUCAGGAAACAAAACUAGAACUCACUUCUCGUCUCUUAUCACUGGCAUUCUUUUUUUUAAUCAUUGGCAUUCUUACAUCUGAUUUUAUAGAAACGAAAAAGGACAGAAAAAGACUAUUUUUUCAAUAAAAAUGACAAAUGGUUUCUAAUUUUAUAAAGUACUGGUAGAAAAAGUGUGUUAUUACACUAAAUGCACUCAACUUCUUUGCCAUCAUUUUAAUACUUGACAUUUAGUUUUUUUUAAUAGCUUCUCACUAUGUUAUUGUCACAAAAAUCAGAACUCACACAUCCAAUACAGAGACGAAGAGUCUUACUGACAACUGGUCUCCAGGUCUCCUUCAGAAUGAGCGGCGGUACUGUUGUCAGUUUUCCUCUUGGGAACAAGCGUUAGUUACUUCUUACGGCAGCUUUUCAACGAGCAUCUGAAGAUACUCAUCAUGGCUCACCACCCUCCUCAGAGCUUCUCCUCUGGCUCGUGGUUCCCACAGCUGUUCCCCGUGCCACGGGUACCCGACUGAGGGCCCUUCAGUUAGUGAGUGUCCCUCACGUGAUGUGAACACCAAGACAAAAACCCUCUGGUGCUGAGGACACCGGGACGACUGGGAUCAAACUGCCUUUCUUCUCAACACACACGCCACACUGCUGGACGGAUACCAGCUUGUGGUCGAGUCAGUCACUUCCCACACCUCUCUGCUGGACGUAUCAAAACAGGUCUCUUUCAUACUAUGAUCACGUGAUUUUACUGUAAACCCUACUUUACAUAUUUUCCUCUUUAAAGUGUACUAGGUAUUUUG